rnacentral:rRNA from 1 species
AUACGGAGGAUGCGAGCGUUAAUCGGAAUUACUGGGCGUAAAGCGCGCGUAGGCGGUUUGGUCAGUCGGAUGUGAAAGCCCUAGGCUCAACCUGGGAAUGGCAUUCGAUACUGCCUGACUAGAGUAUGGUAGAGGGAAGUGGAAUUUCCGGUGUAGCGGUGAAAUGCGUAGAUAUCGGAAGGAACACCAGUGGCGAAGGCGACUUCCUGGGCCAAUACUGACGCUGAGGUGCGAAAGCGUGGGGAGCAAACAGGAUUAGAAACCCCAGUAGUCC